GUGCAGCUAAUUUAUUUAUUUAUUUAUUUAUUUUGUAUUUUUAAUAGAGACAGGGUUUCACCAUGUUAGCCAGGAUGGUCUCAAUCUGACCUUGUGAUCUGCCCGCCUUGGCCUCCCAAAGUGCUGGAAUUAUAGGUGUGAGCCAUGACACCCAGCCCGGACCUCUGCCUUCAUUGUAAUGAUGUUAAUAAACCCAAAUAUCCAAAAAUCUGAGAAUAUAUAAGAAUACCUACUCAAUAGACUUGAGAGAGGAACCCACUGAAAAAGUUUCAUGUAUUUAUACAAUAAGUAUUUACUAAAGGCCUUCUAGGUAUUCUGUAGGGAAAAAAACCCAGUCUCUGUUCUUAAACAGCACUGCUGUGAAAUACAGGUUAUAAACACUGCCAUUGUGGGAGCAUGUGGGAAGGCAGGAGGGACACCUAACCCAGUCUAGGCAUCCAGGAAAAGCAUGUGGAGGGAAGUGAAGUCUAAGCUAGACUUAAGUGGGAAUUAGCUAUAAGAAGAGGUGGGUAGACAACAGUUUGAGGAGGUAACACAACUUGCAAAGGCUCAGAGACACAACCUGAGUCCAGAAAGUUAAACAUGUAAGGUUGGAUUUUGAAGUGAAAAUGAACCAAGUAGAGUGGAGAAAGAUAAAGCUACAGUGAUAAAAGAACUGGGUGAUGGAGGGUCUUAGAAGCUGUGUUAGAGUUUGAACUUCACCUUAGAGUAAUGGAGGCAUUGAGUGAUUUUAAGGAAAAUAGUUGUAUUUUAGAAAGAGCAUUCUGGUAGCCAGGUAGAAAAGAUGUCUUCUUAAACUGCACAUUACCAUCCAUUGGUCAGUUUUGAAAUCAUUGCAGUAAAUCACAAAUAGCUGGGGUUUUACAAAAUUAAACACAUAGAAAAUUUCAGCAUAUACUGCAAAAGAGUAUGGCAAGUAUUGUUUUAUGAAACUUUUGUUUCAGGAGUGUGUGUGUUUCCUAGAUCUUGAUGUGAAAUGUAUUUCUUCCUAUGGAUCCAAAUAAAAAAUAAAACUUGAAAGUAUAGAGAACAGACUAGAGUUGAAUACAGACUCUAGCGGUUCAAAGUUGUAACCUGAAAAGAGACAGUAGCAGGGAGAUGGAAUUGAAUGGAGGGUUUACUCUAAAGGUAGAAAGAAUUGGCAGAAAUUGGUGAUAAAGUAAAUGUGGUAAAGAGGUAGAGGUGAAGGAUGACUCAUAGUGGGAGGACAACAUGUAUGGUGGUGCCAGCCCCUAAAGAGAAGAACACAGGAAAGCAGCUUUGCUGAAGAAGAGGGAGGUUCACUUGCACAAGCUGACUAUGGAAAAUGUAUUCAUUUCCUACUGCUGCUAUAAAAAGUGACCGCAAACUUUGUGGCUUAAAACAACACAAGUUUAUUAUCUUACAGUUCCAGAAGUUCUAAGUCCAAAAUGGGUCUCACUGAGCCAAAAGCAAGGUGUCAGCAAGGCUGCAUUCCUUCUAGAGGCUCUAGGAGAGAAUCCAUUUCCUUGCCUUUUCCAGCUUCCAGAGCCCACCCAUAUUCCUUGGCUCGUGGCCCCAUCUCUCCACCUUCAAAGCCAGAAAUGUCUGACCAAGUCCCCUUCAGGCUGCCAUCUCUCUGUUCUCUCUCCUGCCUUUUUCUUUCACUUUUAAAGACGUUUGUGAUUACACUGGGUCCAUCUGGAUAAUCCAAGAUAGUCUCCCUAUCUCAAAGUCAGCUGAUCAGCAAGGUUAAUGCCAUCUGCAACCUCAAUACCCCAUUUCUAUGUAACCUAACAUAUUUGCAGUUUCUGGGUUUUAAGAUGUGGACAUCUUGGAAGUAGAGCGGUGCAUUAUUCUGCCUAAUUCAGGAAGUACUGGGUAAGUGUUAACUAGUUUUCAUGGUAUGAAGCUUAAAAAACACACUUGGGCUGGAAAUAUACCUUUAUUCGGAGUCAUCAAUUAGAGAUAGUAGUCAAAAAAACAGAGUGGGGGACCCAUGGAAAGAGUGUAGUUGAAAUAGAAGAGGACUAGAGAUAGAAUUAUAGUGAUCACCAACAUUUAAGUGGCAGUCCAUGAAAGAGAAGUGCACAUAAUAGACUGAGAACAACAACUAGAGGAAAGUGGGGAAAGCAAAUAUGGUGGACACGGACACUGUUGCUCUCCUACUCAGCAACUAUCCUUUUCCCUUUCUUUGCAAAGAAAGUCUGAUUCUCUUCAGAUGUUCACUCCCCACAUACACAGCCAUGAGACUCAGUCAACCAGUGCCUGGGCAUUUCUCUGGUGACUGUUAUGUCCCAGAGAUGGACAUGUAACCUACUUGUCCUGAAAAGACUGAGGACUUUAUUUCAUGAUUGGGAGGAGAUGGAUGUUCCUCUAGUCUUCUGGUUAAGAACCGGGAAGCAUGCUGCCCUAGCUACUGCUGGCAUCAUCUCAUGAUCAUGAGAGAAGCUAAUCUUAGGAAGAAGCUGUUGCUGUGGAUGGAAGAACAAAAAGAACCUACGUCCCUAAUGCUCAGCCGCUGAAUAGACAGCCCUGGGAGCCAGCCCUCUGAGUUUGUUAUGAGAUAAACUUUCUUAUUGUUCAAGCCAGUUGGAUCUAGGUUUCUUUAAUCUGCUGCCAAAAGCCUCCUAACUGAUACUGAGCAGCACCACAGAAACCCAGAAAAAGAGUUUCAAGGAGGCUGCCAAAGCCUGCUUUGCCAAAAGUUGCAGAAAAGACAAGUAGCAUAAGAACUAAAAGAGUAAUUGGAUAGCAACCAAGAGGCGGUUGGUGAUAUUAGGGAAAGCUGUGUCAAUCGACUGUGGUUGGGGGGUGCCAUAUUUCAGUGAAUUUGAGUACACUGAAGGUGAGGAAAGAAAAAAGUAUCAUUGGAAGACACAAGGUAAGUGGAGUAUUAUUUGUAAAACAUUUAAGAUGAGCAUGUUUACCAGCCUAGGCAACAUGGCAAAAAACAUCUUCAUAAAAUAUAUAAAAACUUGUCGAGAGUGGUGAUACGUGAGUAGCUACCUGGGAGGCUGAGGCAGGAGGAUCACCUGAGCCUGGGAGUUUAAGGCCACAGAGAGCCAUGAUCUGAUCGUGCUACUGCACUCCAGCCUGAGUAACAGAGGGAGACUCCAUCUCAAAAAAAAAGAGAGGGCCGGGCGCAGUGGCUCAAGCCUGUAAUCCCAGCACUUUGGGAGGCCGAGGCGGUGGAUCACAAGGUCAAGAGAUUGAGACCAUCCUGGUCAACAUGGUUAAACCCCGUCUCUACUAAAAAUACAAAAACUUAGCUGGGCAUGGUGGCACGUGCCUGUAAUCCCAGCUACUCAGGAGGCUGAGGCAGGAGAAUUGCCUGAACCCAGGAGGCGGAGGUUGUGGUGAGCCGAGAUCGUGCCAUUGCACUCCAGCCUGGGUAACAAGAGGGAAACUCCGUCUCAAAAAAAAAAAGAGAGAGAGAGAGAGAUGAGCCUGAGCCUGUUUAAUAGAAUGGAUGAUAAUAAAGCUACUGACAACCUGUAGUGUGUUAGGCACAAUACUAAUCAUUUAUAUGUUAAUGUUUUUAGUCCUUAAAACAUGUGUAUGGGAUAGACAUUAUUAUUCCCAAUUUACAUAUGAAGAAAGUGAUGUGUAGAGAGCUUUUCUCUUUCUAAAAAUCACAUACUUGGGAAUUGGCAGAUUCAAGUCCAGGUCAUUUUAUUCUAAUACCCUGCCCUUCAUGCUAUGGUUUCCUCCCUAAGAGGCCAGUGGAGAGGAACAGAUUGGAAAAAGGGAUAACUUACAAGGCAUUUAUCUAAUACAUUAGAAGAACUAAACACACGGCAGUGUUCAGUUGAACCGCUACCCCAGCAGUCCAAGUGUGGAAUCAGAGCUGCAUCCCUUCUCCAGUAUUGGUCCUUUCAUAGCCUUCAAUUACCCUAGAUUAUCUUAUGUACUAAACAAGGUGAUAACCUGUCUUGAUUGAUUGAUUGAUUGACUGAUUGAGUCAGGGUCUUGCUCUGUUGCCUAGGCUGGUGUGCAGUGUUGUAAACUCAGCUCACUGCCUCAAACUCCUGGGCUCAAGUGAUCUUCCCACCUCAGUCUCCGAAGUAGCUGGGACUACAGGUGCACACCACCACCCCUGGCUAAUUUUUAAAUAUUUUGUUGAGACUGGGUCUUGCUAUGGUGCCCAAGUUGGUCUUCAAUUCCUGGCCUCAAGGUAUCAUUCUACUUCAGCCUCCCAAAGUGUCAGGAUUAUAGGUGUGAGUCACCAUGCCCAGCCUGCAUUUACUUUAAUUACAACGUUUGUUUCCCUUUAGCUUUAUCCUGGUGGACAUGUAAGAUAGAUGUAACUUUGGUAUUUCCCUGAAAUAUUGAUGUUGGUCAAGGGGAAGCACCUGAACAGAGCUCACGGUACCAGAUGUGAAGUAAAGUCUACAGACACUGGAAACGUUGUGGGACUCGGGGCAAAAGUCCUAUACCAGGAGGUCUUGAGAGUUCACUAGAGGCAGGUAAGAUAAGGCCUCCAAGGCCAGACUAAGGAGUAUAAAGGUCUCUCAUUGACCCUCCUAAUAAGCGCCCCCAGUCCUCAUAGGAUAUGAGUUAUAAUGGAGCAGGGGGAGUGUGCAGAGCUUGGAGGAGCUUGGGAAGUAAAGCACUGGGAGAAGAGAUUGGCUUGCACAGCCUUGUUCAAAAUGUACCCUUCUGAACCAAGAGACGGCUUAUAACAUAUAUAAUGGUUGGUUCCCCCUAUAUCCAUUCCACACAAGAUGAUAAAUCUAAGCUAAUCAUGGUAAUCCCAUCCCCUUUGCUACUAGUUAUUACUAGCCAUGGGCAGAACUACACCAAUUUCAGCUGAUGAAACCUCAGGAGGAGCUGGAUAUUAACAAGGGGGAAGGGAGUCCUCACGGCUGUUGGCAGCCAUCUUAGAAUCAGGAGUAAGUCUUAUGCUGAAGCCAAGGCUAAGGACAGCAGAGCAGAGAGAAAAAGGAACCCAGUCCUUGAAGACAUUUUCUUUUCUUUUUUUUUGGGAUGGAGUUUCGCUCUUGUUACCCAGGCUGGAGUGCAAUGGCACAAUCUCGGCUCACCGCAACCUCUGCCUCCUGGGUUCAGGCAAUUCUCCUGCCUCAGCCUCCCGAGUAGCUGGGAUUACAGGCACGCACCACCGCGCCCAGCUAAUUUUCUGUAUUUUUAGUAGAGACGGGGUUUCACCAUGUUGACCAGGAUGGUCUUGAUCUCUUGACCUCAUGAUCCACCUGCCUCAGCCUCCCAAAGUGCUGGGAUUAGAGGCGUGAGCCACUGCACCCGGCGACAUUUUCUUACUAGGCACCAAAUUCAGUUUCUUCCAAUUGGCAUCUGAAGAAUCCAACUAAAGUAAAAGCUGCCUUGAGGGCCUCAAGAGGUUCUUGGGUCCAUGGCAAGAUAUUACAACAUGAGAAGAGUCACUAGUGAGAAGAAUCACAAAAUACCUGCAAUAAUAAAUUAUUUCAGAUGAAUGAAAUAAUCCGGUCUUAUCUUAUACCCUAACCCUCCCAUUAUGGGGUCUGGAGAGAUUCUAUGAUUUUUCUGAGAUCCAAUGAUUAUUAUAUGACAGAGCCAGAAGGCUACACUGAACAAAGCAUCAGGCGCUGGGACUGAGGGAAGAAGAAAGCAUUUCCAGGCCCCUGAGCACUAAUCAUGUGGUCUGGGAAGUCCUGUAGCCUCUCUGGACUUAAAUUUCCUCAUCAAGAAAACGGAAGACCUCAGAUGAUAAUUAACUGAGAAUUCAUGCAAUAAACACACUACACAACUUCCCUGAGACUUAUUUCCUACCUGUAUAAUGUGAGGAUAAUGAUUAAUCAUGUUGCUAAAGAGAGAGAAACAUGUUGCAAGCGAGACCGAGAUACAGAGAGAGAAGUUUCUAAUAUCCCCCACAGACCUCAGCACCACUACUGUUGGCCAGGCUGGGCCCACAGUAAGCAAUUCUGGGCAGCCAGAUUUCCCCUGAGUUCCACUUUGCUCCCCACUUGGCCUUUUUUUUUUUUUUUUUUGAGACAGAGUCUUACUCUGUUGCUCAGGCUGGAGUGCAGUGGCAUGAUUUCGGCUCCCUGCAACCUCUGCCUCCCAACUUCAAGUGAUUAUCGUGCCUCAGCCUCCCAAGUAGCUGGGAUUACAGGUCAUGCACCACUAUAGCCAGCUAAUUUUUGUAUGUUUAGUAGAGAUGGUGUUUUGCCAUGUUGCCCAGGCUAGUCUGGAACUCCUGGCUUCAAGCAAUCUACCUGCCUCCGACUCCCAAAGUGCUGGGAUUACAGACAUGAACCACCACACCCAGUCAGCCCUUGUCCUUCUUGGUGUAAGAGAGUGUUUUCAUAAGCUACUGUCACAAUAUCUAAAUAUGGUGCUGAAAUGUGAUCCGCAAUGUCGAAGGUGGGGCCUAAUGGGAACGGCAGUGAUACACCCCUUCUGCUAAGUUUCCAGUACUCCCCUGAGUAACUGGCCAGGAUUAGGGGAAGAAACCUGACCUGGAAUCAAAGUUUAAGUUAUUAGAUUCUUCACAACUAAGUCAGAAAUUUCCAGAACCUUUUCACAAACAACUGUCCCAGAUACAUAGGUUUGAAAAUAGGGAUUAAAUAUCUGUUAUUUUAAAUAGUUCAAGAGCUUUAACACUAAAAGGAAUCAAUAAAAUAUUACUGUACUCAGUC